UCAGUGUGGAGGAGCGGCGAACGGGUGAGUAACACGUUGGAACCUACCUCGAACUCAGGGAUAACAUCGAGAAAUCGAUGCUAAUACCGGAUAGUCCCGAAAGGGUAAAGAUUUUUCGGUUCGAGAGGGGCCUGCGUCCUAUCAGCUUGUUGGUAGUGUAAUAGACUACCAAGGCUAUGACGGGUAACUGGUUUGAGAGAAUGACCAGUCACAAUGGAACUGAGACACGGUCCAUACUCC
rnacentral:rRNA from 1 species